rnacentral:rRNA from 1 species
UGAGGAAUCUUGCGCAAUGGGGGAAACCCUGACGCAGCAACGCCGCGUGAGUGAGGAAGGUCUUCGGAUCGUAAAGCUCUGUCAGGUGGGAAGAAACGCAUGGGAGUUAAUAGCUCCCAUGCUUGACGGUACCGCCAGAGGAAGCACCGGCUAACUCCGUGCCAGCAGCCGCGGUAAUACGGGGGGUGCAAGCGUUGUUCGGAAUUAUUGGGCGUAAAGAGCGUGUAGGCGGCUGGAUAAGUCAGAUGUGAAAGCCCUGGGCUUAACUCAGGAAGUGCAUUUGAAACUGUUCAGCUGGAGUAAGGGAGAGGAAAGUGGAAUUCCUGGUGUAGAGGUGAAAUUCGUAGAUAUCAGGAGGAACACCUGUGGCGAAGGCGACUUUCUGGCCCUAUACUGACGCUGAGACGCGAGAGCGUGGGUAGCAAACA